UACGGGGGGGGCAAGCGGUUGUUCGGAAUUACUGGGCGUAAAGGGCUCGUAGGCGGCCAACUAAGUCAGACGUGAAAUCCCUCGGCUUAACCGGGGAACUGCGUCUGAUACUGGUUGGCUUGAAUCCGGGAGAGGGAUGUGGGAAUUCCAGGUGUAGCGGUGAAAUGCGUAGAUAAUCUGGAGGAACACCGGUGGCGAAGGCGG
rnacentral:rRNA from 1 species